rnacentral:rRNA from 1 species
ACUCAAAUGAAUUGACGGGGACUCGCACAAGCAGUGGAGCAUGUGGUUUAAUCCGAUACAACGCGUAGAACCUUACCAAGGCUUGACAUGGCCGGCAAAGUUGUUGAAAGGCAAUGGAGGUUAUCCGGUCACAGGUGCUGCAUGGCCGUCGUCAGUUCGUGCCGUGAGGUGUAUGGUUAAGUCCUAUAACGAACGCAACCCUUAGGCUUAGUUACCAGCAUUCAGUUGGGGACUCUAGGCUGACUGCCCGAGUAAUCGGGAGGAAGGAAAGGACGACGUCUGGUCGUCAUGGCCCUUAUGCCUUGGGCGACACACGUGCUACAAUGGUUAGGACAAUGGGUUGCCAACCCGCGAGGGGGAGCUAAUCUCAAAAAACUAACCUCAGUUCGGAUUGGAGGCUGAAACUCGCCUCCAUGAAGUCGGAAUUGCUAGUAAUCGCAAAUCAGCCAUGUUGCGGUGAAUACGUUCUCGAGUCUUGUACACACCGCCCGU